rnacentral:rRNA from 1 species
AACCUGCUCUGAGAGUGGGAUAGCUUCUGGAAACGGAUGGUAAUACCGCAUAACAUAGCGAAACCGCAUGAUUUUGCUAUCAAAGUAUUUCGCUCAGAGAUGGCCUCGCGUCUGAUUAGAUAGUUGGUGAGGUAACGGCUCACCAAGUCGACGAUCAGUAGCCGGACUGAGAGGUUGAACGGCCACAUUGGGACUGAGACACGGCCCAG